rnacentral:sRNA from 1 species
UAAUAUGAAAUGUUAGCCGCAGACAGUAGGUGACUUUGUCUUAAUAUCCUACCGAGGUUUGAGAAUUCGAUGUUAUAAUUUUCAAGUCUCACAUAGCGGUGUGAGAUUUUUUUAUG